ACGGGAGGCAGCAGUGAGGAAUAUUGGUCAAUGGGCGGAAGCCUGAACCAGCCAAGUCGCGUGAAGGAAGACGGUAUUAUGUAUUGUAAACUUCUUUAGACGCAGAGAAAUAAGGGGCUCGCGAGCUCUGAUGCUAGUAUGCGUAGAAUAAGGAUCGGCUAACUCCGUGCCAGCAGCCGCGGUAAUACGGAGGAUCCGAGCGUUAUCCGGAUUUAUUGGGUUUAAAGGGUGCGCAGGCGGCGCUUUAAGUCAGUGGUCAAAUCGUGAGGCUCAACCUCAUCCCGCCAUUGAUACUGGAGCGCUUGAUUGCGGUUGAGGUAGGCGGAAUUCGUCGUGUAGCGGUGAAAUGCAUAGAUAUGACGAAGAACCCCGAUUGCGUAGGCAGCUUACCAAGCCGUAAAUGACGCUCAUGCACGAAAGUGCGGGGAUCGAACAGGAUUAGAUACCCUGGUA
rnacentral:rRNA from 1 species